rnacentral:tRNA from 1 species
GGUAAGAUGGCUGAUAAAGGUGAUAGACUGUAAAUCUAUUUAUGGGAGUUUGCUCCCUUUUACCA